AUUCUUUGGGGUUCAUGGCAGGAUGACUGGGUGUUCACACUUACUGUAUGAAAAGUGCUUCCCUCUGAAUCUUAUUAUAAUAUUGGCACAUUACCCAUCCGUGU
rnacentral:snoRNA from 1 species